rnacentral:lncRNA from 1 species
AGGCCCGCCCGCGCUCACCAUGGACAGGUAAACGUAGGAGGCGUAGAGCUCCAGGUUGAUCUGGCGGUUGAUGGCGGCCUCUGAGUCCUGGUGGUAGUUCUGGCGCACCUGCGAGGUGGACGCGGUCGUCAUGGCGGCGACUAAGGAGAGGCGGCGGCGGCGGCGGUGGCUGCGCGGCGCUGGAGCGGCGGCGGGGGCCUUGGGGCAGUCCGAGGGUGCGGUGAAGAGGUGACGGAGGGCUGGCUAUGGGCGGCCGGCCGGGGUGGGGAACGAGCGCCGGGUUCCGUCCAAGCACUGUUGAAGCAGGAAACCCCGACGACUCUCGGCGAAGAACGUCUGGCCCUGCGGGUCGCUUGUGGUCUCUUAUAGCCGCGUCGGCGUCAGGCCCGCCCCGGCCAAUCAGCGCCGCCCGCCCCGAGCCCGCUCCUUCCGGUGGGCGCGGGACCCCGCCCCUGCUGUGGGGGAGGGGCGGCCGCUGGAGGCCCUCGCGCGCUCUGGCGGAGCUCGGGAGCGGGGACCGGUAGCCGACUGCCUCUGGGACAGCGGUGGCGUCUCUGUGCCCGUUUAGUGGAGUUGGAGGGAAGCUGCGAGGAGGCGCAGGAAGUCCACCUCAGAACCCCCCCCCCGGUCUAGGGGCGCCCGGGCGUUGGAACCGGCGGGGGAAGGGUGCGGGGGCGCAUGGGGUGAUCCUGAUUCGGCUCCCAUUUUCCCGAACGGGCACCCUGAGGCUCCUGGCCCGGGGCAUGGUGUUAGAAAUCAUAGCUGCGGAGAAGCCCUUGUGACACCUUGCUGCAGAUUGGGAAGCUGCAGAUGAUUGGGAAGGUGGAAGGUGGAGACGCGGUCCUUAGGUGGUCGAGCGCAUUUUCUCUUCCUCAGAGUCCAGGAAGGAGCGCGAUGGAGAAGUGGGGCGCACGGCGGGUUUCGGGUCCGCCCCUGCCCUUCCGACUCCUCCGACCACGUCUGCCUUUGGCUGAAAGCAAAUAUGGCUCCGUGUGCGGUUUCUGCAACAAAGGCUGGGCGGGCCGGGUUUCCCUAGGGAUGGGGACCGCCUCCCCGGGGAGUCGUGGGGGUGAGCCACCGGGGCCUCCGAGAGAAUCGCUGGUGUCGCUUCGCACCCAAGGGACACAUCUCGGGUUAGAAAGGAGAAACGACGUGGAUCUAAAGGCGAAGCCCAUGCUGAGGACUUUUCAAAAUGGCCUCUUAUCGGCCCCACUCACAGGAGCUUCAGGCUUCGGUGGCCCUGUAGGACAACCCUGGGGUGUCAUUGGAGAGAAGCUGACGGGGUUAAUGGCGGGUGACAGGUGAAAGAGACCCCGGAGGGGUGGGGCCGGUGUGUGUGGCUAAGCUGAGUCCCAGGCACAGGGUGGAUGUGAAUUUAUGGGUGGCAGAGCUAGAGCUAGGCCCUGCCCUUACCUAGGUCCUGGCUUCGAGGUCCACUGUUCUGUCGCGUCUUUUGACGCAUCGGUGGAAGAACUGAAUUUCAGGAUGCUCACAAACCUGCAGCUGGAAGCUAGACUUCCAAACCUUAGUUUAAAAAAGCAACUCUACUGAAAUACUAAAAUAAAUUGCCGACGGAAUUAGGGUGA